UACGAAGGUGUCUAGCGUUGUUCGGAAUCACUGGGCGUAAAGCGCGCGUAGGCGGCUUUGCAAGUCAGAGGUGAAAUCCUGAGGCUUAACCUCAGCAUUGCCUUUGAAACUGCAGAGCUGGAGUAUUGGAGAGGAGUGCGGAAUUCCUAAUGUAGCAGUGAAAUGCGUAGAUAUUAGGAGGAACACCGAUGGCGAAGGCAGCACUCUGGACAAUUACUGACGCUGAGGCGCGAAAGCGUGGGGAUCAAACAGG
rnacentral:rRNA from 1 species